rnacentral:rRNA from 1 species
CCUACGGGAGGCAGCAGUGGGGAAUAUUGGACAAUGGGCGAAAGCCUGAUCCAGCCAUGCCGCGUGUGUGAAGAAGGCCUUCGGGUUGUAAAGCACUUUCAGUGGGGAAGAAAGCCUUGGGGCUAAUACCCUCGAGGAAGGACAUCACCCACAGAAGAAGCACCGGCUAACUCCGUGCCAGCAGCCGCGGUAAUACGGAGGGUGCGAGCGUUAAUCGGAAUUACUGGGCGUAAAGCGCGCGUAGGCGGUCUGAUAAGCCGGUUGUGAAAGCCCCGGGCUCAACCUGGGAACGGCAUCCGGAACUGUCAGGCUAGAGUGCAGGAGAGGAAGGUAGAAUUCCCGGUGUAGCGGUGAAAUGCGUAGAGAUCGGGAGGAAUACCAGUGGCGAAGGCGGCCUUCUGGACUGACACUGACGCUGAGGUGUGAAAGCGUGGGUAGCAAACAGGAUUAGAUACCCUGGUAGUC